GACGAACGCUGGCGGCGUGCUUAACACAUGCAAGUCGUACGGUAAGGCCCUUUCGGGGGUACACGAGUGGCGAACGGGUGAGUAACACGUGAGUAACCUGCCCACAACUUUGGGAUAACGCUAGGAAACUGGUGCUAAUACUGGAUAUGUGCUCCUGCUGCAUAGUGGGGGUUGGAAAGCUCCGGCGGUUGUGGAUGGACUCGCGGCCUAUCAGCUUGUUGGUGGGGUAGUGGCCUACCAAGGCGGCGACGGGUAGCCGGCCUGAGAGGGUGACCGGCCACAUUGGGACUGAGAUACGGCCCAGACUCCUACGGGAGGCAGCAGUGGGGAAUAUUGCACAAGGGGCGCAAGCCUGAUGCAGCAACGCCGCGUGCGGGAUGACGGCCUUCGGGUUGUAAACCGCUUUCAGCAGGGACGAAGCUUUUUGUGACGGUACCUGCAGAAGAAGCACCGGCUAACUACGUG
rnacentral:rRNA from 1 species